rnacentral:piRNA from 1 species
UAAAAUUGCUAUCACCAACCUCAUGC